UACGAAGGGGGCUAGCGUUGCUCGGAAUUACUGGGCGUAAAGGGCGCGUAGGUGGACAGUUUAGUCAGAGGUGAAAGCCCAGGGCUCAACCUUGGAAUUGCCUUUGAUACUGGCUGUCUUGAGUACGGAAGAGGUAUGUGGAACUCCGAGUGUAGAGGUGAAAUUCGUAGAUAUUCGGAAGAACACCAGUGGCGAAGGCGACAUACUGGUCCGUUACUGACGCUGAGGUGCGAAAGCGUGGGGAGCGAACAGG
rnacentral:rRNA from 1 species